rnacentral:misc_RNA from 1 species
AAGCUAGGAGCAUACAAUAUGUACCAUCCAGCUUGAGGGGGAUUGGGAGUGUUACUUAGAAUAAGAAUGUAAAUGGCUGUAAAUUAGGAGAUUGAUUGCAUCCCUAUAAUUAAGAGAUUCCUUGAUUACUGUAUUUGUGUCUAUUCCUCUAUAGGAUUACUGUAAUUGUAUAUAUAUACAAUCUAUGUCUUUUGAAAAUUAUCAAGCUAUUUUUCCACAAAUUUCCUUAUCCUCUCUGUAUUUUCACAUGAACCAUUAAUUAGUGAUGGAGUAAACAAUUAUGAACGG